rnacentral:rRNA from 1 species
AUUGAACGCUGGCGGCAUGCUUUACACAUGCAAGUCGAACGGCAGCGCGGGCUUCGGCCUGGCGGCGAGUGGCGAACGGGUGAGUAAUGCAUCGGAACGUGCCCAGUAGUGGGGGAUAGCCCGGCGAAAGCCGGAUUAAUACCGCAUACGACCUGAGGGUGAAAGCGGGGGACCGAAAGGCCUCGCGCUAUUGGAGCGGCCGAUGUCGGAUUAGCUAGUUGGUGGGGUAAAGGCUUACCAAGGCGACGAUCCGUAGCUGGUCUGAGAGGACGACCAGCCACGCUGGGACUGAGACACGGCCCAGACUCCUACGGGAGGCAGCAGUGGGGAAUUUUGGACAAUGGGGGCAACCCUGAUCCAGCCAUGCCGCGUGCGGGAAGAAGGCCUUCGGGUUGUAAACCGCUUUUGUUCGGGAAGAAAUCCUCUGGGCUAAUACCCCGGGGGGAUGACGGUACCGGAAGAAUAAGCACCGGCUAACUACGUG